CAGCAGCCGCGGGAAUACAGAGGGUGCGAGCGUUAAUCGGAUUUACUGGGCGUAAAGCGUGCGUAGGCGGCUUUUUAAGUCGGAUGUGAAAUCCCUGAGCUUAACUUAGGAAUUGCAUUCGAUACUGGGAAGCUAGAGUAUGGGAGAGGAUGGUAGAAUUCCAGGUGUAGCGGUGAAAUGCGUAGAGAUCUGGAGGAAUACCGAUGGCGAAGGCAGCCAUCUGGCCUAAUACUGACGCUGAGGUACGAAAGCAUGGGGAGCAAACAGGAUUAGAGACCCGUGUAGUCCCUGUCUCUUAUAA
rnacentral:rRNA from 1 species